CUCAGAUCCAAGUGCUCGACAUGGAAGAAAGAGGCUAAAGUCUGACAUCCUUUCAGCAUCUGGUAUGGGAAAACGUGUUGAUCCUGCAGCAACUCUACUAGCAGCUGGGUUCCGGUUAUUAUAGAUGUAUUCUCCUUGUCAGACCCCAAAAGGGGGACACUACUGAGUAGUCCAUUUUCCACAGCUGAUGGUGAAGAAACCAUUGAUGACCUUGUCAUCCAAGAAUCAUCCAUUUUGCUCUAAGACAAGGUUAAUCAGCAAUCAAUUUCAGUUCUUAAAAAUCACUUAAUUCACUUAUAGAUGAGUAUCGAUGUCUGUAAUAAGUUUGCAUCUUACUUUUACUGUGAUGACUCUCAACAAAAAGAAUUGCUUCUGUUUAUUUCCAUGACAUAAUGGACAGUGUGUACCGGUCUGUUACACAAAUGUGCUGUUCAGUAAAUUAAAACGUUUGGGGAUGAUGGUAUUCUAUGUUUCUCAUGAAUUUAGCAGACUUUUUUUCCUGUAAUAUA